rnacentral:RNase_P_RNA from 1 species
UGAGCUGACUGUGUAAUCGCUUUUUUAAAGAGGAAAGUCUGGGCUUCAUAGGGCAGAGCGCCAGGUAACACCUGGGAGGCGUGAGCUUACGGAAAGUGCAACAGAAAGUAAACCGCAGCAGUAUAUUGUUGUAAGGGUGAAAAGGUAAGGUAAGAGCUUACCGCGCUGAUAGUAAUAUUAGUGGCAUGGUAAACCCCGCUUGAAGCAAGACCAAAUAGAAAGACUAUAGUGUUGCCCGCACUGUUUUUGGGUAGGUCGCUUGAUGCAUAUGGUGACAUAUGUGCAAGAUUAAUGAUUACAUAAGACAGAACCCAGCUUAUAGGUCAGCUCAUACC